UACGUAGGGAGCAAGCGUUGUCCGGCAUUACUGGGCGUAAAGCGUGCGCAGGCGGUUUGCUAAGACAGGUGUGAAAUCCCCGGGCUUAACCUGGGAACUGCGCUUGUUACUGGCAAGCUGGAGUGUGGCAGAGGGGGGUGGAAUUCCACGUGUAGCAGUGAAAUGCGUAGAGAUGUGGAGGAACACCGAUGGCGAAGGCAGCCCCCUGGGCUAACACUGACGCUCAUGCACGAAAGCGUGGGGAGCAAACAGG
rnacentral:rRNA from 1 species